UACGUAGGGGGCAAGCGUUGCUCGGAAUCACUGGGCGUAAAGGGUGCGUAGGCGGGGCUUUAAGUCAGGGGUGAAAUCCUGGAGCUCAACUCCAGAACUGCCUUUGAUACUGAGGAUCUUGAGUUCGGGAGAGGUGAGUGGAACUGCGAGUGUAGAGGUGAAAUUCGUAGAUAUUCGCAAGAACACCAGUGGCGAAGGCGGCUCACUGGCCCGAUACUGACGCUGAGGCACGAAAGCGUGGGGAGCAAACAGG
rnacentral:rRNA from 1 species